rnacentral:piRNA from 1 species
UUGUAGUCUCUACAUAGUGAUGGUUGUAC